rnacentral:lncRNA from 1 species
AUGGUUUGGGCUGCAGUGGGCAUCCCUGACCCCAUCCAGGGGCUGCAAUCCCCCCGCCAGGUCCCUGCAGCUUCCCCAGCCCCUUCCCUGGGCUCUGGGAUCCCCCCUGGGUGCAAGGGGACAGGCAGGGAGGGGGUGAUCGUGGCCAGGGGACCCCCAUCACUGCUGGGGGGGGGGGGAACAGGAGCCCGCUGCCCUCCCACAGCCCCCAUCGCUCGCCGGUGCAGCACCCAUGGGUGCUGGCACCCGGUGUCCCCGCAGCCGCCUGCCCCCCGUGCUGUGUCCAGGGGGGGUUUGGGGGGGGGGGGCUCCCCAUCCCGCCUGCCCCAGCCCGGGCACAUGUGUUUCCAAUGUGGCUGCGAGCUCCAGGGAGUCGGCGUGCUCAGAAAGCAGCACCAAAUUCCUUUCCUAUCGAGUAAUGGGCCCCAGCAGCCUCCGCGAGGCCGGGCAGGGGGAGGGGAGGCUCGGACCCUCCAGGACUGGGCUCGGGGGCAGGCUUGGGGGUGGGAGGGGGGGGAGAGGAAAUCCCAGACUAAACAUCCCGAGGCCACGGGGAUCCCGGCGUUCCCCAGAGCCAGCGCUGCCGCCGCCGCACCGCGCGCUCGGGUGCAGUGUCCUCGCAGCCCCGGCUCACCCUGCCCGGUGCCACCGUCGGGGAACGGUCCCCAGGGUCCCCAGAUGUGUGUGUCCCCCCCCACAGCACCGCUCCCCACCCCACACCCAGGGUGGGCACCGGCACCGGGCCCUGCAGCGGGGAUGCUGCUGGCACCGUGCGCCGCGGGUGACCGCGGGCUGGGGAAGGACGGGGCGAAGCUCAGCCUCCAGGACGGAGGCCGUGGGGGCUCGGUGAUAGAAGGGGGGGGGGCCGGGCUCCUCCGCUCGCCUUUCCCGGGAGCCGUUUCUGCUGCUCUCAGCAGCUUUGGCAGGGAGGGAUCCUUUGCGGUGAUGCCGGGCAGCGGGAUGCACCCGGGGCUGACAGCUGCCUCCUGGCUGGUGCCACGCACCGCAAGCGGCCACCAGCGGGGCCACCGGGACCCCGGGGCUGGUGGGGAGGGGGCUGUGCCCGUGCCCCCCCCCCCCCAGCCCAGGAUGCAGCCAGCCGGGGAGCAGCGCACAGCACCCCGCUGA